UCUGGUCGUUUCGCGUCCUCAGAGCCGAGCAGCUGCGCGGAGAAAACAAGACGGACAAAGAUCAGGGAACGGUUUGUUUAAAAAGAAACAACCAAAUCAGAGAGUCGCCGCAAUGUUUGCAGAGGAGGACGGGGCCCAGCUGCAGUGCUGUGUGACGGUGGAGCAGCUCAACUCCUCCGGCCAGGCCACCCGGCGGCAGGUCCUCCGGAAAGCCUCCGUCAUCCUGGGCCGCAAUGAGUUCCAGGAGAUUCUCCUGCGGGUCCACGACGGGAAAGUCCCGCAAAGUUACCAGCUGAGAGAGUUCAAACUCUUCACCAAGUUCGCCAGAGAUGGCAAGUGCACCGUCAAGCUGCUCCCGGAAAACAUCCAGGUGCUCCUCUCCAACUGCCCCCCGGACCGGCUGGGCCUCUUCCUCAAGACCCUGAGCAUCAAACACCAGGCCUGGCAGAGCGGCAAGCCCCUGAGCCACAGGGAGAAGCUCAACGCCGGCCUGCCCCGCAGCUUCGAGGCCAUCAGCCCCCUGCAGCAAAAAGACAUCCAGAAAGUCAAUGAGAUGAGAAGUAAAGUGGCUCCCAGCGGGCUGGCAGAGCGCACCAAUAAGACGACCGCAGCAAGACCAGGACAGCAGGUCAAGAGGUCAAGGGCUGACAGUAACUUUAGUCCGGUGAAGAUGAAUCCGAGUAAGAAGCCCAUCCUGUCUCUGCCGUCACGCAAACUGAAUAAAGAACAAGCCGCUGUUCUCGGUGCAGUGCUGAGCGGCAAGAAUGUCUUCUUCACUGGAAGUGCCGGCACAGGAAAGUCGUUCUUACUCAAAAGAAUCAUGGGAUCUCUUCCUCCAAAAAGCACCUUUAGCACAGCCAGUACAGGGGUGGCUGCAUGUCACAUUGGAGGAACAACAUUGCACAACUUCGCAGGUAUCGGCUCGGGCUCUGCCCCCCUGGAGCAGUGCAUCGAGCUGGCUCAGAGGCCCGCGGUGCUGCAGCACUGGACUACCUGUCGACACCUCAUCAUCGAUGAGGUCUCCAUGGUGGAGGCGCAGUUCUUUGACAAGCUUGAGUCGGUUGCCAGGUCGGUGCGGAGGUCUACUCAGCCGUUUGGAGGCAUCCAGCUGAUCAUAUGUGGCGACUUCCUUCAGCUGCCUCCCGUCUCUAAAGGAAAAGAGAAAGCCAGCUUCUGCUUCCAGGCCAGGAGUUGGCGUAAGGUCAUCCAGGUCAACAUGGAGCUGACGGAAGUGCGAAGGCAAACGGACCAGUCCUUCAUCUCCCUGCUGCAGGCAGUGAGAGUGGGCAGGGUGACCGAGGAAGUCACCGCUAAGCUUCUGAAAAGCGCUUACCACCACAUAGAGAAGGACGGUAUUCUAGCAACCAGGCUGUGCACACACAAGGACGACGUGGAGCUCACAAAUGAGAACAAACUCCAGCAGCUGCCAGGUUCAGUGCGGGUGUUUGAGGCACACGACAGUGACACGGCCCUGGUGAAGACGAUAGAUGUUCACAGCCCCGUCAGCAGACUGAUCCAACUCAAAGUGGGAGCUCAGGUCAUGCUGACAAAAAACCUGGAUGUUUCUCGAGGUCUGGUGAAUGGAGCGCGAGGGGUUGUUGUAGCUUUUGAUUCUGGAAAACAUGGGCUCCCGCGUGUGCGUUUCCUGUGCGGCGUGACAGAGGUGCUUAAACCAGAGCGCUGGGUUUUUAAGUCCAGUGGUGGGAUCCACCUGAGUCGACAGCAGCUGCCCCUCAAACUGGCCUGGGCCAUCUCCAUCCACAAGAGCCAGGGAAUGACACUGGACUGUGUGGAAAUCUCUCUGGCACGCGUGUUUGAGAGCGGCCAGGCUUACGUGGCCUUGUCCCGUGCUCGGAGCCUGGAGGGUCUGAGGGUAAUGGACUUUGACCCCCGAGUGGUGCGGGCAGAUCCAGAUGUUCUCCUCUUCUACAAGAAACUGAGGAAGGAGAGGCUGCUCAUGCAGGCCUCCAUGGAUGAUUUUGUUGCCAACAACAAAGAAAACUCUUGGUGUUGGAAGUGGAAAAUAUCUAUUCCUGCCUUAAUCAAGUAGUCUUUAGGUAGAGGCAGCCUCCAUUGUGUGUGAUGUGCCUCUUCGGUGAUGCACCUUAAUAUAUAAUAUUUAAGGUGGUAACAUUGAGGUUGCAUGAACAUCUUCACCUGACAUGGCCUAAAACACUGAUACAAAUCUAGCAAGGUUUGGAAAAACUUUUUCCAUCUUCCCAUAAACAAAUAUCAGGAGAUGUGCCUUAGCAAGUAAGGUUAGUCCAAUAUAAAUAGUACAUAUCACUUCUGUCCCAUGGAUAGUAAAUUAUAAAAAGGAACUCCGACAAACUGGAAACCAUCAAAAC